rnacentral:rRNA from 1 species
UUCGCCCUUAGAGUUUGAUCCUGGCUCAGGACGAACGCUGGCGGCGUGCUUAACACAUGCAAGUCGAACGAAGCUUGAUUUAUGAUUUCUUCGGAAUGAAUAAUGAUAUGACUGAGUGGCGGACGGGUGAGUAACGCGUGAGCAACCUGCCCUUCGGAGGGGGAUAGCGUCUGGAAACGGACGGUAAUACCGCAUAAAGUGUCUUGACCGCAUGAUCGAGAUACCAAAACUGAGGUGCCGAAGGAUGGGCUCGCGUUGGAUUAGAUAGUUGGUGGGGUAACGGCCUACCAAGUCGACGAUCCAUAGCCGGACUGAGAGGUUGAUCGGCCACAUUGGGACUGAGACACGGCCCAGACUCCUACGGGAGGCAGCAGUGGGGAAUAUUGCACAAUGGGGGAAACCCUGAUGCAGCAACGCCGCGUGAAGGAAGACGGUUUUCGGAUUGUAAACUUCUGUUCUUAGUGAAGAAUAAUGACGGUAGCUAAGGAGCAAGCCACGGCUAACUACGUGCCAGCAGCCGCGGUAAUACAUAGGUGGCAAGCGUUGUCCGGAAUUACUGGGUGUAAAGGGAGCGCAGGCGGGAAGCCAAGUCAGCUGUGAAAACUACAGGCUUAACUUGUAGACUGCAGUUGAAACUGGUUUUCUUGAGUGAAGUAGAGGUUGGCGGAAUUCCGAGUGUAGCGGUGAAAUGCGUAGAUAUUCGGAGGAACACCGGUGGCGAAGGCGGCCAACUGGGCUUUAACUGACGCUGAGGCUCGAAAGUGUGGGGAGCAAACAGAAGGAGAUACCCUGGUAGUCCACACUGUAAACGAUGAUUGCUAGGUGUGGGGGGGUCUGACCCCUUCCGUGCCGCAGAUAACGCAAUAAGCAAUCCACCUGGGGAGUACGACCGCAAGGUUGAAACUCAAAGGAAUUGACGGGGACCCGCACAAGCAGUGGAUUAUGUGGUUUAAUUCGAAGCAACGCGAAGAACCUUACCAGCACUUGACAUCCAACUAACGAAAUAGAGAUAUAUAAGGUGCCUUUCGGGGAAAGUUGAGACAGGUGGUGCAUGGUUGUCGUCAGCUCGUGUCGUGAGAUGUUGGGUUAAGUCCCGCAACGAGCGCAACCCCUGCCAUUAGUUGCUACGCAAGAGCACUCUAAUGGGACCGCUACCGACAAGGUGGAGGAAGGUGGGGAUGACGUCGAAUCAUCAUGCCCCUUAUGUGCUGGGCUACACACGUAAUACAAUGGCCGUUAACAAAGGGAAGCAAUCCCGCGAGGAGGAGCAAAACCCAAAAAACGGUCUCAGUUCGGACUGCAGGCUGCAACCCGCCUGCACGAAGUUGGAAUUGCUAGUAAUCGCGGAUCAGCAUGCCGCGGUGAAUACGUUAGCCGGGUCUUGUACUCACCGCCCGUCA